CCUCCUUCCCCAUGAGGGGAUUUGGAUGUGCAGAAGGGAAUGGAACUGCAGUCAGGUCAACCCUCAGCCACUCUGGAAGGACUGCAGUUAAAUCAUGAAGACAAUCCUCCUUCGUUCUGCUGCUGAUUCACCAUAUGACCUUGGGCAAAUCUCAUGUCCUCUCUUAGUCUGGGCUUUUCAUCAAUGAAGUGAGGAUAAUAAUAUCUGUCCAAUACACCUCCCAAGCUGGUUAUGAAGACAGUAUAUGUGAAAGUACCAUGAAAUGCACCAAGUGCCCAGGAAAUCUAAGAUUUGUAUAUAUGUGACCAGAGGACCAACGCCAUGCUUUCUAAAAGGCCUGGAGAUCAGACAACAGUCAUCGCUCCUCCUUCUCUUUGUGUUGGUCAUUUUGGCAAAUUACUGGAAGACAGCAGUUCCAACAGAAAAAAAGUGUAUUUAAGAUAGAAGAAUCAAUUGAUAAUUAAGCUUAGGGGAGCUCAAUAAAGUCAACCUCACUAGAAGGAUGAUUUGGGAUAGAUCAUUGUGGAAGAUGAAGGCAGAUAAAAACCAUUAAGAAGGACAAAGAGGUAAGAAGUGGAAAAAGCCUGGGAACUGAGUGUCAAACCUUAUCUUCAGUGGUGGUUUUGUCACUAACAAGCCAAAUAAAUGACCUUAGG
rnacentral:lncRNA from 1 species